rnacentral:rRNA from 1 species
AGCUCCAAUAGCGUAUGCUAAAGUUGUUGCAGUUAAAAGGCUCGUAGUCGAACUUUUGGCCCUGUGAACCUGACCCAGCCUCACGAGGUUGCGUGCCAGAGUGCACGGGCCAUUCUUCUGGAGAGCUCGGCCGUCCUUUUGGGCGCGCCGAGCAAUUCAGAUCCUUUACUGUGAGUAAAUCAAAGUGUUCAAAGCAGGCUUUAAGCUUGUAUGGUUCAGCAUGGAAUAAUAAGAUAAGACUUCGGUUCUAUUU